GGCGCACAGCGGAGAACAUGUGGUUAUCGAUGAUACGCGAGGACUACCGGCUGAACUGCAGAGACUCGGCUGAGACAGCGUUCUCGGGCUCUGUGAGUGCUGCAUGGUUGUCGUCAGCUCGUGCCGUGAGGUGUCGGCUAGUGCCAUAACGAGCGCAACCCCUCUCCGUAGUUGCCAUCGGGUUAUGCCGGGCACUCUGCGACACUGCCACCGCAAGGUGCGAGGAAGGUGGGAUGACGUCAAAUCAGCACGGCCUUACGUCCGGGGCUACACACGUGUUACAAUGGGGCAUACAGAAAGCCGGCCGUACGCGAGUGCGGUCCAAUCCCGAAAGUGCCCCUCAGUUCGGACUGGGGUCUGCAACCCGACCCCACGAAGCUGGAUUCGCUAGUAAUCGCGCAUCAGCCAUGGCGCGGUGAAUACGUUCCCGGGCCUUGUACACACCGCCCGUCAAGCCAUGAAAGCCGGGGGCGCCUGAAGUCCGUGACCGCGAGGGUCGGCCUAGGGUGAAACCGGUGAUUGGGGCU
rnacentral:rRNA from 1 species